CCUCGAGGCUUUGCCAUAAUCACACACACACACACACACACCUCUUCCCUAUAGUUUUUUGAUUAAGCUGAUUUAGAUGAGAUGUAACGUCUACCAUAAAAUAAAAUUUUUGGAUCUACUGAUCAUUCAUUAGUUCUGGAUUAUAAACACUCAUUUCAAGGAGUAAUGCUUUAACUUCUGUUAAUAAGGAUGCAAAACAUUUCAAAACAUUUCCUCUUGAUAACCAACGCACUUUAUUAUUCAGCAGAAGAUCUGAGUACUCGCUCUCCAUUUCAACUAAAAAUUCUUUAAACUGGCGAUGAUUAAAAGCUGUAGUAAUAAUGAGGUUAACAAUAAUAUAAUUAUGAAUUCCAUAACUUUGCAAAUUUCUUCUGGAAAUGUCGAGCACAAAGCGCUUCUUGAUGAAUGAUACAAUGGCACAUGGCUCUUAUUGAACUAAGACUGUCACUGAAUGAUUGUUUGGAAUCGACAUUUCUUGCUGUCUGAAACCUACUUCACCUAUGAUGUAAAUAUGCAGUUGUGGUUCUCACUGACAUAAAGUUUAGCCACUCCUGAUCGAUUA